UACGAAGGGACCUAGCGUAGUUCGGAAUUACUGGGCUUAAAGAGUUCGUAGGUGGUUGAAAAAGUUAGUGGUGAAAUCCCAGAGCUUAACUCUGGAACUGCCAUUAAAACUUUUUAGCUAGAGUAUGAUAGAGGAAAGCAGAAUUUCUAGUGUAGAGGUGAAAUUCGUAGAUAUUAGAAAGAAUACCAAUUGCGAAGGCAGCUUUCUGGAUCAUUACUGACACUGAGGAACGAAAGCAUGGGUAGCGAAGAGG
rnacentral:rRNA from 1 species